rnacentral:rRNA from 1 species
GAUGAACGCUGGCGGCGUGCCUAAUACAUGCAAGUCGAGCGAACGGACGAGAAGCUUGCUUCUCUGAUGUUAGCGGCGGACGGGUAAGUAACACGUGGAUAACCUACCUAUAAGACUGGGAUAACUUCGGGAAACCGGAGCUAAUACCGGAUAAUAUUUUGAACCGCAUGGUUCAAAAGUGAAAGACGGUCUUGCUGUCACUUAUAGAUGGAUCCGCGCUGCAUUAGCUAGUUGGUAAGGUAACGGCCUACCAAGGCAACGAUGCAUAGCCGACCUGAGAGGGUGAUCGGCCACACUGGAACUGAGACACGGUCCAGACUCCUACGGGAGGCAGCAGUAGGGAAUCUUCCGCAAUUGGCGAAAGCCUGACGGAGCAACGCCGCGUGAGUGAUGAAGGUCUUCGGAUCGUAAAACUCUGUUAUUAGGGAAGAACAUAUGUGUAAGUAACUGUGCACAUCUUGACGGUACCUAAUCAGAAAGCCACGGCUAACUACGUG